rnacentral:rRNA from 1 species
UUGAACGCUGGCGGCAGGCCUAACACAUGCAAGUCGAACGGUAACAGGAAGCAGCUUGCUGCUUUGCUGACGAGUGGCGGACGGGUGAGUAAUGUCUGGGAAACUGCCCGAUGGAGGGGGAUAACUACUGGAAACGGUAGCUAAUACCGCAUAACGUCGCAAGACCAAAGAGGGGGACCUUAGGGCCUCUUGCCAUCGGAUGUGCCCAGAUGGGAUUAGCUAGUAGGUGGGGUAACGGCUCACCUAGGCGACGAUCCCUAGCUGGUCUGAGAGGAUGACCAGCCACACUGGAACUGAGACACGGUCCAGGCUCCUACGGGAGGCAGCAGUGGGGAAUAUUGCACAAUGGGCGCAAGCCUGAUGCAGCCAUGCCGCGUGUAUGAAGAAGGCCUUCGGGUUGUAAAGUACUUUCAGCGGGGAGGAAGGGAGUAAAGUUAAUACCUUUGCUCAUUGACGUUACCCGCAGAAGAAGCACCGGCUAACUCCGUG